AACGUAGGAGGCAAGCGUUAUCCGGAGUUACUGGGCGUAAAGGGCGUGUAGGCGGUUUGUUAAGUCUGGCGUGAAAGCUCUCGGCUAAACCGGGAGAGGUCGUUGGAUACUGGCAAACUUGAGGACGGUAGAGGCGUGUGGAAUUCCGGGUGUAGUGGUGAAAUGCGUAGAGAUCCGGAGGAACACCAGUGGCGAAGGCGACUCUUUGGUCUGUAACUGACGCUGAGGCGCGAAAGCGUGGGGAGCAAACAGG
rnacentral:rRNA from 1 species